rnacentral:rRNA from 1 species
AUGAUUCCAAAAACAUUAUGUGAUGUGCUAGGUUUCCGUGAAUUUGAUGAUUGUUCUUUAAAUUUGCAUAUUGCGGAUUCCACUAUUAAGAAACCUAUGGGAAGGAUUAAUGAUGUUCUUAUUGCUGUAAAUAGGAAUUAUGUGCCCAUACAUUUCAUUGUUCUUGAUACAGAUUGCAAUCCCUCAUGUCCUAUUAUUCUUGGUAGACCUUUCCUUAGAACGAUUGGUGCAAUUAUUGGUAUGAAAGAAGUAAACAUUAGAUUUCAAUUUCCGUUAAAGAAGGGAAUGGAACACUUUCCAAGAAAUAAAAUUAAAUUACCAUAUGAAUCCAUUAUGAGAGCAACUUAUGGAUUGCAUACCAAAGAUGACAAUACCUAG